CAUUCUAAUAGCAAAACCAAAACAAUACAGGAAUUCUUCUGUUCCCUGCAACUGUAUGGAGAAAUUUUCACCUGAAAUUAAUGUUGGAAUUAAUGACUGAUCAUCUGAGCUGCAUCCUGAUCAUCUGAGUCCAAACUUUCCUCAAGUUCCUACAGGAAAUUUCACAUUAGCCUUUCUUGUAAUCCUUUAUAAAACAUGGAUACAAUGCCAUAUAAAUGCCUUUUAAAUGCAUUUUCUUUAUAAAGCUGCAGAAGAGGAGGAUGAAGAACCAGUAACAGGGGCCAGUAAGAGGGUCUGCAACAGCACAGACACCUCUGCACAAGAUCCUGAAGAGCAGAGAGUGAACAUGCUGUCCAUGGCUGUGUUGGGUUUGAGAGUCCUGCUGGCAAAGAGCAUCGCCUUCAAUGCCCUCAUGAGUAUCAAGUUGUUUCUUUUCUGAGUCACGGGGAAUGAAGGCAAGAGGAACCCGAAGAAGAGCAGGAAAGAACAUGAACCAGCAGCACAAGGGGGUUGAACAAGCAGGGGCAGAGCAGCUGACAGAGACCAGCCAGGACACAAGGCAGCACCUUCCCCUCAAGACAUUGAAUCCUCUUCACUCCUGCCUGGCCAGCUGAUUUACACUGAAGAGUUUUAAGUGCUUUUGCUGUUUCCUCUCCUCUGAGGACUGAGGAGGGUGAAUUUAUCCUCAUCCUCCUGCUUAGCAGAUCUCCCCACUCCUCUGGCAUUUGCACACAAGUGUCCAACCUGCAUCAAUAGCUUUGAAAACUCCAGUGCUGACUCUAGACCUGUGGCCUUUUAAAAGCACCUUUGCCAGGCAUGUUGUGUUACUGCCUCUAGAAGUGGAGUGUUACUGCUGAGAGAAUUCAAGCCCUGGAGCUGCCAUUCCUGGCUCUGGGUUUUAGACAGAUUUAAUAACAUCAAGUGUGUAUUGCAGAUGAGAAGAACUGUGUAGGAUCUGAAGUGAUUGAAUUCAAACAGAAAAUGUUCAUUUCUUUAUGAAGCCUCUAUUUCUUCUGCCAAAUGUGUCUCAUGUGCACUUUAGGUUCCUGUAGUAGUGACAAAAAUAAAGUACUGCCAGGCCAAAACAC